AAAAGCACUUUGAAAAGAGAGUGCAAGAGAACGUGAAACCGUUAUAGUGGAAGCGGAUGGAGCCGACGUAUCCGGUACGUAUUCAGCCCAAGGCGGGUGCGGUCCAUCCUAUGGGAGUUGCUGCAAAGUGCUCGGUAGGUGGUGGCUGUGCUCGUCGGGGGUGCACUUGCGUACAGAGUGCGCCGAGUCGGUCGAGCACGUUGCGAGAAAGUCGAAAAGAGGACCAGCCCCCUCGCGGGACUGGAAACCUGGUCGGCCGGAUGGCAAAUGGGCUUGAUCAGCGCAGAAGAGCUGUGUGGAACUGGUGAACUCGUGAAGGGCUGGCCGUGUUCGGGUUGCUCGGGUGCGACACAUGUGUUUCGCCUUUGCAGCCCGGGCAUGGCUGGUUUUUUGCUCUGUUCCAACUCGGUGUUUAGUCGGUCACCCAUUUGACCCGUCUUGAAACACGGACCAAGGAGUUUAAGGUAUGCGCAAGUCAUUGAAUGUAGUCGAAAUUCAAAGGCGGAAUGAAAGUGGGACACCCAGUGUCUGUGAUGCGACUUUGCGGCGACUCGUCGACGUGAAAGCAGCAUCGACCCAUGACUGGAACCUGGUUCUGUUGUGGAGUCUGAGCGUAUGCUUUGAGACCCGAAAGAUGGUGAACUAUGCCUGAACAGGACGAAGUCAGAGGAAACUCUGAUGGAAGUCCGAAGCGGUUCUGACGUGCAAAUCGAUCGUCUGAUUUGGGUAUAGGGGCGCAAGACUAAUCGAACCAUCUAGUAGCUGGUUCCUUCCGAAGUUUCCCUCAGGAUAGCUGGAACACAUCGAAGCAGAUAUACUCGGUAAAGCGAACGAUUAGAGUCAUUGGGAUGUAUUAUUCUCAAACUAUUCUCAAACUCUAAAUGGUUAUGUUGUCGGUGUUACUUGCAUUGAACACGCGGCUUUGAUUGCUGUGCUCCAAGUGGGCCAUUUUUGGUAAGCAGAACUGGCGAUGUGGGAUGAACCAAACGUGGAGUUAAGGUGCCAGACUCGCCGCUCAUGAGACCCCAUAAAAGGUGUUGGUUGAUAUUGACAGCAGGACGGUGGCCAUGGAAGUCGGAAACCGCUAAGGAGUGUGUAACAACUCACCUGCCGAAUCAACUAGCCCUGAAAAUGGAUGGCGCUAGAGCGGAGGACCUAUACUCCACCCUUGUUGCUGGCAACAGCUCAAGGAGUAGGAAGGUUGUUGUGAUGGCGUGAAGGCGCGGACCAUGAGUCGGCUGAGCCGCGCGA
rnacentral:rRNA from 1 species